rnacentral:rRNA from 1 species
CCUACGGGAGGCAGCAGUGGGGAAUAUUGGACAAUGGGCGCAACCCUGAACCAGCGAAGUAGCGUGAAGGAAGACUGCCCUACGGGUUGUAAGCUUCUUUUAUAAAGAAAUAAAGUGAGGCAAGUGUACCUUUUUGUAUGUACUUUAUGAAUAACAAUAGGCUAAAUCCGUGCCAGCAGCCGCGGUAAUACGGAGGAUCCGAGCGUUAUCCGGAUUUAUUGGGUUUAAAGGGAGCGUAGAUGGGUUGUUAAGUCAGUUGUGAAAGUCUGCGGCUCAACCGUAAAAUUGCAAUUGAUACUGGCAGGCUUGAGUACAGUUGAGGUAGGCGGAAUUCGUGGUGGAGCGGUGAAAUGCUUAGAUAUCACGAAGAACUCCGAUUGCGAAGGCAGCUUACUAAACUGCCACUGACAUUGAUGCUCGAAAGUGUGGGUAGCAAACAGGAUUAGAUACCCGAGUAGUC